AGAGCCUACGGGACGCAGCAGUGAGGAAUAUUGGUCAAUGGUCGGGAGACUGAACCAGCCAAGCCGCGUGAGGGAGGAAGGUACAGAGUAUCGUAAACCUCUUUUGUCAGGGAACAAAGGCGGGGACGUGUCCCCGGAUGAGUGUACCUGAAGAAAAAGCAUCGGCUAACUCCGUGCCAGCAGCCGCGGUAAUACGGAGGAUGCGAGCGUUAUCCGGAUUUAUUGGGUUUAAAGGGUGCGAAGGCGGUCUGUUAAGUCAGCGGUACACACCCGGGGGUAAACCCCGGC
rnacentral:rRNA from 1 species